CCUUGCUUUGGCCAGUCUCCUCUGGAGAAGUAUAAAGGAUUACCCAGACCAUCUUCCUUCAUCUCAAAGACAUAAAUCAGGGAUGGGAAGGGCUCAGCUAAGGCCAUAGAGCCCGAGAAAUAUGGAGGCUCUUCUGGCACACACCCUCCCUCUCUCAAUAGCUCAGCCUUUCCUUAGCACAGAGCCCAGGAAGUGGAGGACCACAGGAAACCUGGCUGGCUGGUUGGCCUCUGGGUUGAGCUGACAUCAGCUUCCCAACAUCUGGUUAAACAUUGGUGCACCUGCCUCUGCCAAGUCAAGGCUAAUCCAAAGCCGGUGUGUUGUUUAACUCCGUUGGCCUGGAUCACCAGAGCAGCAACAGCAGCAGAGAUUUCUGCAGGACCACCAUUUUCCCCUGCCAGUCUCCUGGGUGACCCCAGGCCGGAUAAGACCUAAGGCACUCUAAGUCUGAGACUUCUACUCCGGGUUAACGGUGGAGGUGAUGAGAAGGGUCAGACCUUGAAUAGAAUCAUGCAGAGUAUUAAGAGGGGUAGGUGGAAGGACAGCAUAAUCAGCCAAGAAAAAAAGGAGGACGGAAAUUGCACAGCUAAGAGCAGAAACCGAUGUACUGCAUAGCUGGCACACAGCACAAGUGCCAACAAAGACGUGUACCAGAGACCUGCCCUCCAAAAGACCCAACAAGCAGCUGAAAGAGUCAGAUGCAGAUAUUUGCACCCAACCAAUGGACAGAAGCUGCUGACCCCUGUGGUUGAAUUAGAGAAAGAAGCUGAGGAGAAGGGUGACCCUGUAGGAGGACCAGCAGUCUCAACUAACCUGGACCCCUGAGAUCUCUCAGACAUUGAGCCAGCAAACAGGCAGCUACACCAGCUGAUGUGAGGCCCCCAGCACAAGUACAGCAGGGGACUCCCUGGUCUGGCGUCAGGCAGAGAAGAUGCACCUAACCCUCAAGAGACUGGAAGCCCCAGGGAGUGGGGAGAUCUGGGGGAGGGNAAUGGGGGUGCGGACAUGCUCAUGGAGACAAAGGGAGGAGGUAUAGAAUAUAGAACAGUCAGAGGGACCAGGAGGGGGAUAAAGUCUGGACUGUAAAAAAAAGAUUAAAUAAAAAAAAUAAUAAUGAGAGGACUGGAGAGAUGACUGAGCAGUUAAAAGCAGGUCCUUGCUCUCACAGAGGAUCAAAGCUCAAUUCCUAACACCUGUAUCGGGCAGCUCACGACUGCCCAUAACUAGCUCUGGUGGAUUGAACCCCUCUUCAGGCCUCCAAGGACACACACAAUAGAAAAUGAUGAAAAAGCACAUUUUUUUUAGAAUCAGCCAAUUGGACUCCAUUUUAGGUGAGCCCAGUUUUACUACUAACACGGAAAGCACUGCAAUGAGGAGGCAGGGGAAUGUGUCACUUCCCCCACCAGAAGCUGGAAGAGAAGACGAGGGGCUGGACUCACUUCCUCUUCUGCUUUGGACGCCAUCUUGAGAAAAAGGCAAGAGCUGGCUUUUGGAUGAGACCAUUAACUCACAUAAAUGCCAAGCUAAUUAAUACAAAGAAAGAUAAGCAAGAGCACAAGAACAAGCAAUAUCAGAAACAAAAGGGGGACUUAACUUGGGGAAACUGAGGCUGAGAGGCUCAGCAACCGGUUUGACGUCUGAGUGGUAGAGCAGAGGCCAGAGCUGGUGUCCUUUCCCUGCUCUCCGCAGCCUUCCCCAGCAAGCUGUUUGCAAGGCUGCACUUGGAUACCUGAAGUUUACCUUCUAGACACCUUGGCUCCCUGAGGUCACAGGAGAACUUGUGGGUUCUCCUUCCACUGUGUGGGCUCGGGGACUGAACGCAGCUCUUCUGGUUUAGCAGCAAGCACCUUGAUCUACUGAACCAUCACACGGGCUCCCUUUCAGAUGUACUCCAGGUUGACUUCAAACUCACCAUGUAUUGGAAGAUGACAUUGAACUCCCAGUCCUCCUGCCUCUAUACCCUAAAGGCUGGGGUGACAUUCCCACUGCACCAUGCCUGGUUCUAAACAGUGCUGAGGACUGAGUCUGAGGUUUCAAGCAUGCCAGGACUUGUGGUGAGUCUCUGGCUUGGCUGAGUAGAACUGUGCACAGGCCCAAGACACAGAGCCCUUGGGAUCCCACAAGCCUUGUCUAAGCAUGGCCUCCCUCCCAGCUUCCUUGGAGCAGGUGAUGGAGGUGCCUAUUGUGUUGACCUGAAUGUUAAGUCUAUGCACGUGGCAUGCAGGGACACAGACCCAUGACACUGAUCCACUAUGUCACCGUGAAUGCAAGAUGGUUGCCAAAGAGAGGUCAUCCUCCGUUACCUAUAUUCAGGUGGGUCAAUUACCAGCUUCAUGGAACUCCAAACCCUUCCUUGGGUUUGUCGAGCCUAGUAGGAGACUGAAUGGAUGUUCAGGGAGUGUCUGCUAAGAUCUUCAAGCGGCUAGAACUGAAUACCAUGGGAGAACAAGAGCUAGGAAAUCCAGAAAGGCUUCCCAGAGGAAGGCUGCACUGGUUUAGGCCUGAAAACAUUGGAGGAAUUGGAGUAGCAGAGGGAAAAGAUGAGAGGCAUUUCAGCUGAGGGGGACUAGCAUGUGCAAAGGGUCAGGGGUAGGAGAAAUAACAUGAACUACUUGCUUCCCUCGCUCUUCUGGAUAAGCCUGGGUGGGGAAGUCCAGCCUCUGCUCUCCCAGGCACUUUAGCCACCUUACAAACAUAUGAGGGCCCUGGGGCUGUCUAGGAACAAGCACCGGGUCUCUCAGAUGCCUUCUACUCUUGCUGUGCAGUCCCUGCAUAAGGCAUACCUUCUGCAUGCUGCUUCCUUUCCGAAGCACUGAGCACGUCCCUCUCCAAGGCACAUGCUGUUCCCUCUCCCAGGAGUAAUACGUUUACUUUGGUUCUCUACAAGAGCAGCCUCUUUAUCUUUGGGUUUGUCGGCUUGCAGGGACACUUUUCAAGCUGCCCUGCAUCUUGCACUCGCAUCCUGUCUCCGUUGCUUUUCUCGACUUCUAUUCUAGAAUCCAUAUUCACUUUCACCUGUUGUCUGUCUCUACCCCAACAGGGCAAGGUCAAAGUCUUAGUUAUAGGGACCACUGUGUCCUCAAGGCCCAGCAGAGGGCCUAACACAGAAUAAACAUUCUGGAACUUUCGUGUAGAGAGAAGGAAAGGUGUGUGUUAGGUCCUGUUGCAGCAUUAGCCCCCUGGAGGAGCCUGUCACCUGUGAGCAUGCUCAGAAGUGACACCGCAUUCCCCAGGGCACAUCCUUUACAUGAGAGUGGGGAGCAAGCAAUUGGUCCAAUUGCGCUUGAGGGUCCUUCUGCUCUGCACACCCUGCAAAGUCGGGGAGAACUAUCCUCACUGGGCUGUCUGACAUGGAAGACGGAACUUGCCACUCUUCGCAAUCUUCUCAAAUGCUCUGAUGUGAACAUGAGGUCUGUGCUUCGGACAGCCAUGCUCGUCAGUGUGUUCAUCAUUUCCUGAGGCCCAACCACGGGCCAGGUCCACAGUGCAGCCAUCAUGCAGACAGUAAAAUAGUUCUGGUGGCUGUCACGUUGAAGGCAUUUAAGAUAUGUUAGGGGCUUAGGGCCCCAGGACAGCCUGGCUGGAGUGUUUAGUGGGGGUGAGGCACUUGUAGAUCAAAUUAUUCCUUGGAGUUUUUGUACACGUGAGUCGCCCGGGAUCGUUUGUGGGGGGAGAUGGGGUUGUACACACAUGUGGAGUCUGGAGCUCAGUUGUUCUCCAUCUUCUUUGUAUAUUUAAUACAGAGCCUCUCACUGAGCCCAGGGCUUACGAACUGUUGGACUGGCUAGCCAGAAAGGACUCGGGGAUCGUCUCUUUCUAAGCCUCCCCAGUUGUGGGGUUACAGAUAUAGGCCACAAGGCCCCAUUUCAUUGUUACUAUUUGUCUCAGGUUCUGGGAAUUAAACAGUUCCUGGUGUUCGCAAGGCAAGACUGUAGUGACUAAGCAGUCUCUAGAGCCUUGGGGCAUCAUUGUUAUUUGAGACAGGGUCUAUCUAUAUAGCUUGAGCUAGUCCGGAACUUUCUAUAUCACCCCAAGUCUAGCCUUGGGUUCUUGAUUCUCCUUCCUCAGCCUGCUUGUGUCCCAGCACCCAAAUACAGGGGCAGCCCGUCUGAGCCAGGUACCUGCUUGUCUCUCAAAUCCUCCACAACUGGAUGGAGCUGACAAGAGAUGAUCUGUUUCUGGAUGAACAGGGACUUGCCCAGGGUCACCAGGCCAGGCGACUGGGCCAGGAAGGGCUGAACCACCUCCCCCACUGUGGGCCCUGGCACUGGGGCUGACUGGGCUCAGUGGGCCUUUGUGAGGCCACAUACCUGGGCUGGGAGGCCGCCACUCAGCUAUGAAUAGCGGCCUCUUUCCUUCCUGAGGCACCCGGCAGGCGCAUGCCCUCCCCUACACACACACUCACACGCACUCACGCCUGCUCAGCUCACUCGGGAAAGUCAACAGGAGUAUUUGAAAAGUCUUUCUGUGUAGAGAAUCUGUUUGGAUAGGGGGAGGACGGGAGAGCCAGCCAAUAGGUAGAAAUAUUAAUGAACCUAGUUAUAAAGGACCCAUUCACGGCUCGACGGGUAAAUAGGGCUCUUGUCGGGAGGCCACGUUAUCUGCCAAGUUCAAGAAUGUGGUUUGAAAAAAUAGAAUUUAAAGGGCUGAGGUGGAGCCUUAAAUGGCUGGUGUGCUGGAGCCACAGCCAAAUGAGGGAGGAGCCGGACUGGCCUGGGCACUGGGCAGGGGUUGGGGUGUGGGCUUCUGCUAAAGGGGCCGGGGACAGAGCUGGGAAAGGUGGGUGGAAUUCAGAGACAUCAGGCUGGGUGCCCAUCGAGUGCUUGUGAUAUCCCUUCUUCCCCCAGGUGCCUGGCCAAGGACUGGCAGUUUCUCUACUGAGCCCAGUGCAUGUAACUCCUCAGCUCAGAGACUUUGGUCAGAGGGGCCAACAGGGGCCAAUGGGCUAUAUAGGAAGGGAACUCGACUUCUCCUUCAGUCACUCACCAUGAUCCCACAAAGCUAGACUUCUUCUGCCACCACCAAGUUGCCCUAGUUGUUUAAACUGUGUAAGAAGGAGCAAAAAGAUGGGACUUGGUAAAUCUGUUCACUUCACAUGGGCAUCCCUCAGCCUAGCAGAGAAUCAGUAGCUCAGGGUUACACGGCAAGCUUGGAGCAGAAUAAAACAUUGGCUUCCAUCAGUUUCUUGCUGGAAACAGGCACCCUAGCAUGAGUCUCCCACAGUCACAUGCACAGAGGAGGUGCCUCGUCACAUAUAGGACAGUGUGUCAUUUUUAGCCCUGGACUUAAAGAAAAGUGCAAACUGGAAUGUUCUAACACUGCCCCUGGCCAGCAGUGUGGCCUAGGCAGGAGACUGACCUUUCUGAACAUCAGCUUCCCCAUGUCCUCCUGUUGGAAAAACUCAGUGGAAGGAUGCUGGCGAUGGGCUAGCGCUGUGCCAGGCACUUGGUGGGUGGCCUUGGGACUGUGGCUGGACCACUUCUUUUUCUGUCCCAGCCUGUGCUGUGAAGGUGGAGAUGCUGGGAAGAUAGCUCCCUGGCUUUGGGUUUUAGGAACAGUUUCUACCUGGAUCCUAGAAGGGUGGCCAAGGCCACGCUUGUGGGAAAGUGGCAAAUUUGAAGCCAGAGGUUCUGCCAUGGAGUGUGUUGGGCAGUGAGGCCCUGUGUGAACGAAUCUCAGUCAAGAUCUUUAAAACAGUCUGCAGGGAACCUGGACAUGCAGCACAACCCCUUCCCCAACACCAAACAAAUGCUUGUGCAGAACAAGGGUUAACCCGGAGCUGAGGGAACGUUUACAUUGUCUUUUCUUGGCAAAUAAAAGAAAAGGAAAUAACAUAAAAUCCAAAUGGAAACCUUCAGUAAAGGCUCUGCCAGGAGCUCUCUGAGCAGCUUUGAACAUGGGGACAUUCGGGGACUUGGGUUGUGGGACAUUAGAAGCAUUUGGUAUUAUAGGAGGUCAGAAAUAGCAUUUGGACCUUACAGACUUGGGUUCAAGAUUAGGCUCUGCGGUUCAUUGGCUGUGUUGCUUUGAGCAAAUGAUGAGUCUUUCUGUGCUCUCAUUUCUUAAUUCUAUACAAAGAAAGAAAAGGUUACCCUAUGUGAAGUUCCCUGGCACAUUAUGGAUACUCAUUCAACAUUAAUUUCCUUUCCUUUCUGGGCCUCCUGGAAGGGCCAGGGGAAAUGUCUGACAGGUCUCACCAGGCAGAGCUGGGAGCUCCUCGCAGCUCCAUGGGCCCCACAGCUGCACCUCAGGAGCUUAGUGUCAGGUAGAGCUUAUGGCGCUGACAGUUGGAAGAGCAUGUGCCAGCUUGCCAUGAGCGUUUCCCAAGGCUUUGCGUGAGGUGGGAAAGCAGUACCCACUACCCUAUUUUCCACUGAGACCAGGAGAAGUUAAGAAGCUAGAGCUCUCGGGCAGGGCCCAGAUCUGUUUUCAUUCCUUCAGCUCCUACUGUUGAAGACUUGUGCACCAAGCACAGUUUUAAACACGGGGGGUUAGACAGUGAAUAGAACAAGACACAGAUGGCUGGAUGAUGAUCAAGAGGAUGGACAGCUGAGUGGGUGGGUUGAGGGAUGGAUACUGAAUGGACGGUUGGGUGAGUACAUAGAUCAGUGGACCAAUAGAUGGAUGGUGAAUUAAAUGAUAUGGGUAGGUGAACAGACAGAGGGAUGAGUAAACAGACAAUGAAUGGCUAAGUAGGUGGGUAAAUGGGUAAGCAGAUGGAUGUGUGAUUCAUGGAUGGAUGGGUAGCUGGAUGGAUAGAUGGACAGACCAGUGAAUGGAUAGACAGAGAUGCAGAGGUUGAUGGGUAAA
rnacentral:sRNA from 1 species